rnacentral:rRNA from 1 species
UACGUAGGGUGCAAGCGUUGUCCGGAAUCAUUGGGCGUAAAGCGCGCGUAGGUGGCUUCGUAAGUCCGUUGUGAAAGUCAAAGGCUCAACCUUUGAAAGCCGAUGGAUACUGCGGAGCUAGAGUACGGAAGAGGCGAGUGGAAUUCCUGGUGUAGCGGUGGAAUGCGCAGAUAUCAGGAGGAACACCAAUAGCGAAGGCAGCUCGCUGGGACGUUACUGACACUAAGGCGCGAAAGCGUGGGGAGCGAACAGGA